rnacentral:rRNA from 1 species
AUUGAACGCUAGCUGCAGGCCUAACACAUGCAAGUCGAGCGAGCGGCGGACGGGUGAGUAAUGUAUGGGGACUGCCCGCUAGAGGGGGAUAACUACUGGAAAAGGUUGCUAAUAACGGAAACUAUCUGAUAUCCCAUAUGGGAUUAGCUAUUAGGUGGGGUAAUGGCUCACCUAGGCGACGAUCCCUAGCUGGUUUGAGAGGAUGAUCAGGCACACUGGGACUGAGACACGGCCCAAAGUCCUACGGAGGCAGAAGUGGGGAAGAUUGCACAAUGGCAGAAAGCCUGAUGCAGCCAUGCCGCGUGUAUGAAAAAUGCCCUCGGGUUUUAACAUAAUGUAAGUCGGGAGGCGGUACCGGUAGAAAAAGCACCGGCUAACUCCGUGCCAGCAGCAGCGGUAAUUG